rnacentral:rRNA from 1 species
GAUGAACGCUAGCUACAGGCUUAACACAUGCAAGUCGAGGGGAAACGACAUCGAAAGCUUGCUUUUGAUGGGCGUCGACCGGCGCACGGGUGAGUAACGCGUAUCCAACCUGCCCAUCACUUGGGAAUAACCUUGCGAAAGUAAGACUAAUACCCAAUGACAUCCCACGAAGACAUCUGAAUGGGAUUAAAGAUUUAUCGGUGAUGGAUGGGGAUGCGUCUGAUUAGCUUGUUGGCGGGGUAACGGCCCACCAAGGCAACGAUCAGUAGGGGUUCUGAGAGGAAGGUCCCCCACAUGGGAACUGAGACACGGUCCAAACUCCUACGGGAGGCAGCAGUGAGGAAUAUUGAUCAAUGGGCGAGAGCCUGAACCAGCCAAGUAGCGUGCAGGAUGACGGCCCUAUGGGUUGUAAACUGCUUUUAGAAGGGAAUAAAGUGGGUCUCGUGAGACUUUUUGCAUGUACCUUAUGAAUAAGGACCGGCUAAUUCCGUG